rnacentral:tRNA from 1 species
UCCUCGGUAGCUCAACGGUAGAGCAUCCGGCUGUUAACCGGAGGGUUGCUGGUUCGAAUCCAGCCCGAGGAGCCA